UGCGNUAGGGGAGGCUGGAACUCCUGGUGUAGCGGUGGAAUGCGCAGAUAUCAGGAAGAACACCGGUGGCGAAGGCGGGUNUCUGGGCCGUUACUGACGCUGAGGAGCGAAAGCGUGGGGAGCGAACAGGAUUAGAUACCCUGGUAGUNCACGCCGUAAACGUUGGGCACUAGGUGUGGGGGGCCUUUUCCGGGUUNUCCGCGCCGUAGCUAACGCAUUAAGUGCCCCGCCUGGGGAGUACGGCCGCAAGGCUAAAACUCAAAGGAAUUGACGGGGGCCCGCACAAGCGGCGGAGCAUGCGGAUUAAUUCGAUGCAACGCGAAGAACCUUACCAAGGCUUGACAUGUGCCGGUCGGCUCCGGAGACGGGGUUUCCUCCUUGUGGGGCCGGUUCACAGGUGGUGCAUGGUUGUCGUCAGCUCGUGUCGUGAGAUGUUGGGUUAAGUCCCGCAACGAGCGCAACCCUUGUCUCGUGUUGCCAGCACGUUGUGGUGGGGACUCGCGGGAGACUGCCGGGGUCAACUCGGAGAAAGGUGGGGAUGACGUCAAAUCAUCAUGCCCCUUAUGUCUUGGGCUUCACGCAUGCUACAAUGGCCGGUACAGAGGGCUGCGAUACUGUGAGGUGGAGCGAAUCCCUUAAAGCCGGUCUCAGUUCGGAUCGGUGUCUGCAACUCGACACCGUGAAGUUGGAGUCGCUAGUAAUCGCAGAUCAGCAACGCUGCGGUGAAUACGUUCUCGGGCCUUGUACACACCGCCCGUCACGUCAUGAAAGUCGGCAACACCCGAAGCCCGUGGCCCUAC
rnacentral:rRNA from 1 species